UUAUCAUUGAAAAAACCUAUGAGAAUAACGUUGGCUGCGAGUCAGUUCUCGCGAUAACACGUUUCUUCAAACCUUCCCAUGAACCUUUGCGAUUCCUCUUUCUAGCCGGCGCCUGAGAAUGGGUAUCUCCAGGGAUAACUGGCAUAAACGCCGCAAGACCGGUGGUAAACGCAAGCCCUACCACAAGAAAAGGAAGUAUGAACUUGGGCGCCCUCCUGCAAACACAAAGGCUGCACACGCAAGACCAGAAUUAUCGAUGUGGUCUACAAUGCCUCAAACAACGAGCUUGUCCGAACCAAGACCCUGGUGAAGAACUGCAUCGUCUUGGUCGACCGCCUUCCCUACAGGCAGUGGUAUGAGGCCCACUUUGCCACUCCGCUGGGACGCAAGAAGGGAGCAAAGCUGAUCAGCCCAUUCUUGGAAGAGCAGUUCCUGCAGGGAAAGCUCCUUGACACCUCCUCAACAAGAAAAGAUCAAAGAGGACCCAGAAGUACGAUGAGCGUAAAAAGACAGCCAAGAUCAGCCAGCUCUUGGAAGAGCAGUUCCAGCAGGGAAAGCUCCUUGCUUGCAUUGCAUCCAGACCGGGCCAGUGCGGCAGGACAGAAGGCUACAUCCUGGAAGGAAGAGCUUGAGUUCUACCUGAGGAACAUCAAGGCCAAGAAAGGCAAAUAGAUGUACAGCUGUUUGAUACUUCAAUGAAAUGCGAACGCCACAAACUGUCUACUGACACUUCUUUCUAACGGGAUGUGUUUAAAUCUUGGACAUAACAUGUCUUAACAUUUUAUAAAGUGCAUAAAUUCUAAUCUGUAUAUUUUAAAGUAUUAGUUGGUAAACCGUUAAUAUAGUGUAAAAAUAUAUUUAAAUAGCUGUUUGAUGUCAUUUAAACUUGUGUUAAACCAAUAAACUGAAGGUGCCCGUAUGUUUUACAAUAAAACCAAAGUAACUUUGUGGGGCAAAAGACUGACAAAUCUGUACUCUGCGCCAAUUAUUGAUAUCAAACCAGAAAUCCAGCUCCAUAUGCACUGAGACCUCAAUAAAAGCCAUUUAAAAACAA